UGGAGAACACAGACUAAGAAAUGACUCCCAGAAAAUAUCACUGGAGCAAAUCAAGGAACAGUCCCUACCAUUAGUGUAGAGGAACUUGCAACUUCUGUUCAGUGGAAUAUCAGAACUUUUAUUCACCAGUGACUGGUCACUGAAUCAAGAAGAGCAGCCAGCAGACAUGAUAUAUAUUCACCAGAUUCUGGACAUCUGCGCCCAAUGCCUGAAACAUGAGAAGCAGAGCUGAAUGCUCAAUCACAGUUAUCCCAUCCAUCCAUCAGACAAGAUGGAGGUGAAGGCCUGUGCAUGGCACACAGUGCUGCCAGUCUCUGUUGGGCAUGAAGAAGUCUGAAA